GACGAACGCUGGCGGCGUGCUUAACACAUGCAAGUCGAACGGAAAGGCCCUGCUUUUGUGGGGUGCUCGAGUGGCGAACGGGUGAGUAACACGUGAGUAACCUGCCCUUGACUUUGGGAUAACUUCAGGAAACUGGGGCUAAUACCGGAUAGGAGCUCCUGCUGCAUGGUGGGGGUUGGAAAGUUUCGGCGGUUGGGGAUGGACUCGCGGCUUAUCAGCUUGUUGGUGGGGUAGUGGCUUACCAAGGCGUUGACGGGUAGCCGGCCUGAGAGGGUGACCGGCCACAUUGGGACUGAGAUACGGCCCAGACUCCUACGGGAGGCAGCAGUGGGGAAUAUUGCACAAUGGGCGGAAGCCUGAUGCAGCAACGCCGCGUGCGGGAUGACGGCCUUCGGGUUUUAAACCGCUUUCGCCUGUGACGAAGCGUGAGUGACGGUAAUGGGUAAAGAAGCACCGGCUAACUACGUG
rnacentral:rRNA from 1 species